GGCCCAAAUUUCAAGUAAAUUAGACUAGUAGUAUCAGCUGACACUACUUAACUAUUCUAUUCCAAGUUUGUGCCC
rnacentral:pre_miRNA from 1 species